AGCGAACGCUGGCGGCAGGCCUAACACAUGCAAGUCGAACGAACUCUUCGGAGUUAGUGGCGGACGGGUGAGUAACACGUGGUAACGUGCCUUUAGGUUCGGAAUAACUCAGGGAAACUUGUGCUAAUACCGAAUGUGCCCUUCGGGGGAAAGAUUUAUCGCCUUUAGAGCGGCCCGCGUCUGAUUAGCUAGUUGGAGGUGUAAUGGACCCCCAAGGCGACGAUCAGUAGCUGGUCUGAGAGGAUGACCAGCCACAUUGGGACUGAGACACGGCCCAAACUCCGACGGGAGGCAGCAGUGGGGAAUCUUGCGCAAUGGGCGAAAGCCUGACGCAGCCAUGCCGCGUGGAUGAUGAAGGUCUCAGGAUUGUAAAAUCCUUUCACCGGUGAAGAUAAUGACUGUAGCCGGAGAAGAAGCCCCGGCUAACUUCGUGCCAGCCGCCGCCGUAAUAC
rnacentral:rRNA from 1 species